rnacentral:sRNA from 1 species
AUGCGAUGAGUCGAUUGGCUCUUAGGAGCCUUUUGCGCUGAGGAGGUCUACAUUCAAUUGUAACGCAGGAGCGGACCUUGAACAGUUGUGUGAACCGGCUGUUCUCACCGAAAGGUGCCUCAAAUCCUGGUCUUCGGAUCAGGAUUUUUU